rnacentral:lncRNA from 1 species
AAUAUUCUUGUUGUUAUGAAUUCAUUUAAUGAUUUAUGGAAACCAUUGUUGACAUUGUUAAUAAUUUCUAUAUGCUUCAAAAAAAAUCACUGGAUGCUAGAUGAUGGCACUUCAUUCCAAGUUUUCAUCCACGUUGGCACAAUAAAUGAAGAUUUUUUCAUCUUGCUUUCUUGCAGUUCUGUACAAAUUUUAUGGAAAUUUCCUUGGCAUUUCCUGAAAAACACUAUCCAACAGAAAUUACUGUUCUUCUUUGUGCCAUUUCAAAAAAUGAAAAAAGCCAAUCUCUGGAUGCUUUCAAGUCUUCUCAAGAGAGACUAAG